AUGAAGAUUAGCAGGGGAAAACAGAAUAGACAAUAGCAAAAAAAAAAAAAAAAGGGAAGUGCUGAGAACUCAAACUGUAAAAUCUGUUACAGGUGAUGCCAUUAAGCCUCACAAAUUCAUCAAGAAAAAAGCCUUGUAACUCCUAAGAGGAAGAAGCAUUGUGAACAAGAAAAUCUUGCUCUAUCUAUCUUUCUCCAAAGAACCAGUUGUGUUACGCAGGACAAAAUAACAAAAACAAACAAGCAAACCAAAACUGUCAAAGGAUGCCUGAUCUGAGCCUGGCCCCACACUGUAACCAUUCUUAAUGAUCCAGGCGGUGCCCUUUGCUACUUCAGAGCCUUUCUUUCCCGUCUCUUCAAGGAUCAGAAUCUCUCUAGUGUAACUGCAGGAGGAAGAAAAGGAGAGAAAAAUGACAUGCGACUGUAUAGUUUCAGGGAAGCCACAUAAGACCCACUGGAGACCAGCAGAAGUCAGUCCAGUAGCUGCAUGUUGUAUCUUUAAAAGCAGUGAUAAUCUCCAGAAACAAGACACACACUGCUUAGAAGAUGAAACGACCAUUCAGGGAGUCCUAGACAGGCUCUAGUAAGGGGACCAGGUGAAUCUCAUAAGAUUCAUCAAAUCUGAGUGCAAGUCAUUGCACCUGGGUCAUGGCAACUCUCACUAACCAAUACAAAUUUGAGGAUGCAAGGAGGAAGCACAGCCCUCCUGAAAGGGACUUUGGGGGUACUGCUGGAUUGCAAGCAAGACAGGAUCUAGGAAUGUGCCCUCACAGUCCAGUAAAGCCACCUGUAUCCCAGUCCACAUCAAAAUAAGGUUGAUCAGUAGGUAACAGGAGGUGAUCCUGCUCCUGUACUCUGCACUGUUGGGGCUGGAGAACUGCAUCCAAGUGUGGAGUCCUCAGUAAAGGAGAGACAUGGAUUUGCUGGAACAUGUCCAGAGGUGGGCCACAAAAAUGAUCUGAAAGAUAGAGCACCUCCUCUGGGAGGACAAGCUGAGAGAGCUGUAGCUGUUUGUCUUGGAGGAGGUUCUGGAGAGACUUGAUAGACAUGUUUCAGUAUGUGAAGGUAGGCUGUAAGAAAGCAGAGGACAGGCUCUUUAGCAGAGUCUGUUCUGACAGGACAAGGGGAAUGAGUUUCAAACAAAAACAGUGGGUUUAGAAUGGAUAUAAGGAAAAGAUUUUUUUAUGAUAAAGGUAUUGAAACAGGGGAACAGAUGGCCCAGAGAGGUGGUGGAUGCUCUGCCUCUGGAGAUAUUUGAGGUCACUCUGGAUGGAUCUCUGAGUGACCUAAUUUAGUUAUAGGUGUCCUUGUGCUUCAUGGGAAGAUGACUUAUAUGACCUUUAAAGGUCUCCUCCAACUGAAACAAUUCUAUCGUGAUCUAGUGAAUGCUUUUCACACAGGUGCUUACCUUUGUGACUUCUGGGCAGAGCCUAAAUAAACUUCCUUGCCUGAAACUAGAUAUCA
rnacentral:lncRNA from 1 species